CAACUCGAGACGGCGGGGUAGAGGCCCGCCGCGGUAACGACGGGUAACGGGGAAUCAGGGUUCGAUUCCGGAGAGGGAGCCCGAGAAACGGCUACCACUUCCAAGGAAGGCAGCAGGCGCGCAACUUACCCUAAUCUCGAUUCGAGGAGGUAGUGACAAGAAAUACCGAUGCGGGACCCUACGGGUGCCGCGUUCGGAAUGAGUACGAUUCGAACCACCUAACGAGGAACGAUCGGAGGGCAAGUCUGGUGCCAGCAGCCGCGGUAAUUCCAGCUCCAAUAGCGUACGUUAAAAGUUGCUGCAGUUAAAAAGCUCGUAGUUGAACGUUCGGGUUCCGCGGGACGGGGCCGCCCCGCGAGGGACGGCGCCGCCCCGGGGCUCGUGAUAUCUUAUCUCGCCGCCCGUCGCGAGGCGGACGGAGGGAUGGAUGAGGUUA
rnacentral:rRNA from 1 species